rnacentral:tRNA from 1 species
CCCCGCGUGGCGGAACGGUAGACGCAUGGGUCUUAAACACCCUGUCCGAAAGGAGUGCCGGUUCAAGUCCGGCCGCGGGGACCA